rnacentral:rRNA from 1 species
AUUGAACGCUGGCGGCAUGCCUUACACAUGCAAGUCGAACGGCAGCACGGGUGCUUGCACCUGGUGGCGAGUGGCGAACGGGUGAGUAAUACAUCGGAACGUACCUUAUCGUGGGGGAUAACGCAGCGAAAGCUGUGCUAAUACCGCAUACGCCCUGAGGGGGAAAGCGGGGGAUCGCAAGACCUCGCGCGCUUAGAGCGGCCGAUGCCUGAUUAGCUAGUUGGCGGGGUAAAAGCCCACCAAGGCGACGAUCAGUAGCUGGUCUGAGAGGACGAUCAGCCACACUGGGACUGAGACACGGCCCAGACUCCUACGGGAGGCGGCAGUGGGGAAUUUUGGACAAUGGGGGCAACCCUGAUCCAGCAAUGCCGCGUGAGUGAAGAAGGCCUUCGGGUUGUAAAGCUCUUUUGUCAGGGAAGAAACACCGGCUCUAACACAGUCCGGGAAUGACGGUACCUGAAGAAUAAGCACCGGUUAACUACGUGCCAGCCGCCGCCGUAA